rnacentral:rRNA from 1 species
GACAGAGGGUGCAAACGUUGUUCGGAAUUACUGGGCGUAAAGCGCGUGUAGGCGGCCCUGCAAGUCGGAUGUGAAAUCCCACGGCUCAACCGUGGAAGUGCAUUCGAAACUGCAGGGCUAGAGUCCUGGAGAGGAAGGUGGAAUGCUUGGUGUAGAGGUGAAAUUCGUAGAUAUCAAGCGGAACACCGGUGGCGAAGGCGGCCUUCUGGACAGUGACUGACGCUGAGACGCGAAAAGCGUGGGGGAGCAAACAGG